CCGUCAUUAGCGAAAUGACAGAACGUAAACGAUCAUCUCUAAACGAAAUAACAGUGCGGACCAGUGCAACGCAACGCAAACCUCCAAGUGAAACUAAUUUCAAAGUAAACAAGGAAGAAUUUAGUCCACCGUGUGCGCCCGUUAAGUAGUGUAUUGAGUUUUUUCUUUGCGGUUGUUGUUGUUCUCCAUCAUCGUCCUUCUGGGUGACUCAAACCCGUCACGUUGAGAGCGUGCGGUCCAGAUGGGGUCAUCAUGAAGUACUGUUUGGUGUUUCGUGUCAACCAGAGAUGCCAGUCUGACUAACUCCAGCGAUGGGAUACGCCAUGACAGUUGAAACCGCAGAAUUUACAUAACCUCGUCAUCACCGCCUAUAGACAUCUACAACCAGUUCCAUCGAUCGUCGAGAUUCAAUACAGGUCAUGACCAGCACACCAACACCGGCUGAUGAUUAGAACUAGAGACGAUGGGUUCCGUUCGAAGUAUUUACACUGCCAUUUCAGCACUUAAAAACAGCCUGGCACUCGGAAUGAUGUGGCGUUACUCAACUCACCUUCGAUUUUACUGUACUUUUUUGCCAUGCAAACGCACAUGCAUAUGUGGCCACAAUUAGACAGACGAACGGCUAAUAACAAUAACGUCAGAGCGUGAAGAAAAAAAAAGACCUACCCGAGCUGUGUGUAUUCCGAUCAUUCAGACAUGUUUUUUCCUACGCUUGCGUUUAAAAAUGGCGUCCAGACGCCCCUGGAGUGACAUUCUGCGUUUAGUUCGAAUUUACACGCGGUAUGCUUUUCCGUACCGUACCGCAACCAAGUAGGCGUUGUCGAUUCAGUAGAAUAACGUCAUAAAAGAAUCAAUUCGAAAAUGAUCAGUUAUCAAACAAACAUUUAUCAAUGGUGGUGGUAUAGCAUUCGUUCAAUGUUUGGGCUAGUUUGAUACGACGACAACAACAAGAAUAAUCAACUUGUGUCAACAACUCGACACCGCCAGCUCGUCGGUCCCCUUAAUCCAUACACCGCACCGAAAUGACGAACGAAUCACAGCGGUUAGCUUCCGUGGACUUCAAACAAUGCUCACCCUCCUGCCGUGAGGAAGCUUGGGUAACAGAGAAAUAGCGUGGCCACACGUUCAUAAAUCAUGUAAAACUGAAUGGACUGCUGUUCUACAUUUGUCCCGUUCCGGCAUCAUCCCACUGCAAUCUCCACAUCUCACGAGUCUGACAACUCUGCGUCAUACCGGAGUCAACGUCAAAAAUUCACAACUUUGCUGCUGUCACCGGUUGGUGCGUUCGAAGUCAGUAUCGACGCAGUUAACCAGAAUAAAGCUAGAUAACAGGAAACAAACAAUUGUUUGCCUCUGUCACAACAUUUCGCGAUGACUGCUAGCAUCGCCUAUAGGCAGCGAAGAAUGAGGUCUAGCCGCGCUCACCGGUAAGCGUUGGUGGCGAUGAUGAGUUACAUAAAAAGAAAACAAACAUGGCGACCUAACCCAGCCGAACCGGCAUCAGCAGCAGCAGCCGUAGUAGCAGCAUCUACAAUUUAUCUCCACCGUCGUAGUAGCGGAGCUGCACAGUUUCUCACACCAAUCGCUGUGCUAUUUACAAACUAACCAGUUACCUUCAAUAUUGUAAUCUAUGCGUGCGCCAGUAGAAGUGGGACUCUCCAACACUUCAUCAACAUUUCCCGUCUAGUUUGACAAAGCGAAAUGAACCACGUGGUUUGGUUUUGUUUGAGGGAAGAAUAAACACGUGGAACCGAACAACAUAAUCGAAAACUUCCGAUGAAGGAAAUGCUGUUGGAACAAAAUGAUCUUAUUAAUGGAUUAGAUUUCUCAGUAAAUUUAAUGAAUUGAUUCGUUAUCUGACAACUUAUCGCUCUUGUGAACGCCGUUCGAAACUUUCGCAAAAAAUCAAGGCCAGCUUAUGUUUGUAUUUUUUUUCUACAUGCCUGAAACAAACCGAUAAAGCGAAAAUCACACGUUCCCUAAGACGGCCAUAAUCGACUCCGGAGUUGACAGGUGGUAUCAUAUCACUCAGAAAAAUAUUUUGAGAUACAUGAGCCUGAUACCUGGUGGUAUUUUUCAAAAUACUUUCGUUGAACUAUUGGAAGAAAAUAAAAAUGGUUGAUAAAGUAGCAUAACCUAAUCAUCGAAACGACUCGAAAUUUGAAAAAAUAAACUAAUUCUCCUGUAAUUCUGGAUCCGAAAGAGGGAUGCGGAUAAAAUUCAAUAUCAGCCCAAAAGACAUUUCAUUCCAGUUCAUUUGAAUCAUUUUUGGCCCGAGUGGAAGUUAGUUAGUACAGGGUCCAUCAUGUAACUUUUUUUA